GACGAACGCUGGCGGCGUGCCUAAUACAUGCAAGUCGAACGCACAGUUUAUACCGUAGCUUGCUACACCAUAGACUGUGAGUUGCGAACGGGUGAGUAACGCGUAGGUAACCUGCCUGGUAGCGGGGGAUAACUAUUGGAAACGAUAGCUAAUACCGCAUAAUAUUAAUUAUUGCAUGAUAAUUAAUUGAAAGGAGCAAUUGCACCACUACCAGAUGGACCUGCGUUGUAUUAGCUAGUAGGUGAGGUAACGGCGCACCUAGGCGACGAUACAUAGCCGACCUGGGAGGGGGGUCGGCCGCACUGGGACUGGGACGCGGCCCAGACGCCUGCGGGAGGCAGCAGAAGGGAAUCUUCGGCAAUGGACGGAAGUCUGACCGAACAACGCCGCGUGAGUGGAGAAGGGUUUCGGAUCGUAAAGCUCGGUUGUAAGAGAAGAACGGGUGUGGGAGUGGAAAGUUCACACUGUGACGGUAUCUUACCAGAAAGAGACGGCUAACUACGUG
rnacentral:rRNA from 1 species